AUGAUCUGCCUACCUCGACCUCCCUACGUGCUGGGAUUACGGAUCUCUAGAAUCCCCCUUCUUGCUGAGAACUUAAUGACUGUUGAAUCCUCAAAGCUGAGAAGAUGCAGGCUACACAAAUCUCAAAAUCACCAGAUUCACCAGACCAUGUUCAGGAAGCCAUUCCUCAUAGCUGGAAGCCAGCCAGCCAUCCUGGGCUGUGGAAAACUUGACAACAUUUACAGUGAGAUUUGAGCAACUUGUGUAAAAGUGGAACUCGGGACGCGAUGUCAGUAUGCUCAAGACUUACUGUCCGUAAGCACCAUUUAGUUCACUUUUUGCACUAAUUAUCUCACUCUGAGAGAAAAUGGAAAUGUGGGAAAAGGGCAUGAAAAAAAAUAAGAGAAAAACCAAACAGAACAGUGAACAGAAAGCCCCAGAAUCAGACUUGACUUGUCUUCAUCUUUUUACCUGGGCCAACCUGACUGAAAGUGGACGUUUCUCAAGGAAAAGCAAAGACAACUGUGUCUGAGUAACAUAAAUAUUUGGACAAGCAUUAAAUGUGGCAGCAUUAAUAAUGAUUCUACCUAGGUCCUGUUUUGAGGGUGGAAAAAUUGAGACAAAAAUGUUAAGUAAUGUGGCUUUCAUAGUACCUAAAAAAAAUUAGGACUCUAAGAUGAGGGAAUUCACUUCUCUGAAUUAGGAGGACAAAUAAAUAAGUUUAUACUUAGCAAAAAUACAAAAUACAGCCCAGAUAAAAAGCAAACAGCCUUUAGAUAACUACAGAAUCAAAAGUGUUAAUAGUUGUUUCCAAAUUCUGCGACUUAUUGAUUCUUAGUCUACCUUGUUUGGUAGGACAUCUCGGCAAUGCAUCUGUGGGCCUUUAUCUCCACAUUCCUCCUGAAUGAAGGCCAGAGGCAAAUGAGAGGAAUCAGAAAUCGGGAGAAAACGUAAAGUAAGUAUUUCCAUUUUAAAUUCCAGAAUUUAGACAUAAAAGGUUUUUGUGUAGUGUUGCCACGUACAAUGUAUAUUUGCUGUGUUUUAGCUGUGUCUGUUCCUCUUUGAUUUGGAAACACAUUCUCAAUCCCUGGAGUAAAUUUGCACUCCACUGCUGUGUGUGCUGCCUUCACGGCAUUAUUUGUCCAGGUGCCGCUAUCCAAGUGGUGGGCCUAUGACUCAAGUUACGCUAAUUAUAUUCUCUCUUGAAGGAUUUGGACGAUUGAAUAAAGAUGCAAAGACCUAAAACCCUGACAGGUGUUUAAUUUUAAGGAGGCAGAAACUCAGGCCAGGCAUGUUGGCUCACGCCUGUAAUCCCAGCAAUUUGAGAGGCCAAGGUGGGUGGAUCACCUGAGGUCAGGAGUUUGAGACCAGCCUGGCCAACAUGGCAAAACCCUGUCUCUACUGAAAAUACAAAAAUUAGCCAGGGAUGGUGGUGCACGCCUAUAAUCCCAGCUGCUUAGGGGGCUGAGGCAAGAGAAUAACUUGAACCAUCUGGUGGAGGUUGCAGUAAGCCGUGAUGGUUUCACUGCACUCCAGCCUGGGUGACACAGCAAAUCUCUGUCUCAAAACAAAACAAAAAACAUGGAAGAAACUGCUCACCAUUUCCUGCCACUGAACUUCUAGUGCCUAUCUCUCACUGGGUCUACAAUUUCCCCUUUUGUUCUAGAGAGUUAGCCAGCAUCAUUUCAAUUAAUGUAUUAAUAUUUUUCAUUUAAAUCUCAGUCUUCAGGUUGCUCACAGCUUAGUAGGAAAGAUGUUGGCUCUCGAGAUUUUAGCACAUUGUUUGACACUUAGAAGAUCUUCAGUAAAUACUUUUUGAAUGUUACGUUUAAGGUAAAUGUUGGCUACACUGAAGUGUAUAGAUUAUUAUCUUCCAUUGUCUUGAGGUAGGUGUAGAGAAGGCUUACCAGAGGAGUGUGGUUGAAAAAGUCAUAUUUUUAACCUCCCACAGUACCUUAUAGAGAAUAGGUACUCAAUAAAUGUUUGAAUCAAAAACAUAAAAUCCUACAAAAAUAUGUUUCAGUAAAUCUCAAAUUGAUACAGUUUUACUAAUUUUUGUUACAACUGCUAUGAUCUGAAUGUGUCUCCCAAAAAUUCAUAUGUUGGCGGCUAAUCCUCAAUGUGAUAGAAUUAAGAGAUGAGGCUUUGUGGGGUUGAUUGAGUUAUAAGAGCUCAAUCCUAACGAAUGGGAUUAGUUUCUUUAUUUUUUUUAUUUUUAAUUUUUUUUUGAGACAGAGUUUCACUCUUGUUACCCAGGCUGGAGUGCAAUGGCGCGAUCUCGGCUCACCACAACCUCCGCCUCCUGGGUUCAAGCAAUUCUCCUGCCUCAGCCUCCCGAGUAGCUGGGAUUACAGGCACGCGCCACCAUGUCCUGCUAACUUUUUGUAUUUUUAGUAGAGACGAGUUUCACCAUGUUAACCAGGAUGCUCUUGGUCUCUCGUGAUCCACCCGCCUCAGCCUCCCAAAGUGCUGGGAUUACAGGCUUGAGCCACCGUGCCUGGCCAAUAAGGCACCAUCUUUAAAGGAGAGAGCAAGCCCUCACCAGACACUGAAUCUGGUGGUUCCUUGAUCUUGGACUUUCCAGCCUAAGAACUGUGAGCAAUAAAUUUGUGCUACUCAUAAAUUACCUAGCCCAAGAUGUUUUGUUCUAGCAGCCCUAACAAAAACAAUAACCCUUCUAAGAUUUGUUAUAUUAUACUGAAUGAGACACCAUAGAUAGAGAAAAAAAUUAAAUCCUCCCAAAGUCAGGAGUUUUCAUAUCUUUUUUACUUCUGCCAUCAAGUAAAUAUUACCAUCCCCUGAAAGCAACAGAGCUGAGUUCUUUCUCAUCUAGGUCUAAGGAAUAACAAACAUCCCUGCUUUCUUUGAGUGCCAGAGCCAGUAACAGAAAAAGCUGGUAUGAAUUUUCAAGAGGAAAUGCUAAUUUGACCCCUUUCCACAAAUGUUGACACUUGACAGCUCUGUUUUUAGAAUCUGACACCAAGGGUGUUAUCAGGGUAUAGGAGGUCUUUUUGAGUUAGAGACAGGGCUCGGAGUUCUUUGAUGAGAGCCAAAAGGCAGUCUGGGAACUGGAAAUGUUUACUGGACCUGUGUUAAGAUUUGGAGAACUGUACACUCAUAUAUAUAUAUAUAUAUAUAUAUAUAUAUUGCCCAUAACCUUCAUAGUCUUUGCUUCUGGGCCUAAAAUAACAUUUUUUUCUCUUUUGCUACCAAAGUAGAAGCAUUUUUGGAAACCAUAUAUUUAUGGAAAAUAUAUCAAGAUAGAC
rnacentral:lncRNA from 1 species